GCUGUCAGCCGUCUCGGGGGAAUUUGCUGCCCAAGUUUUGAAUAUGCCAUAAAAAAAUGACACCCUUGUUCCUUUUGUUGGAGCUUGGGCAUUGCAAAGUUAAGACCCAGAAGCUGAGGGACUAGAGAAAGCACUAGGAGAAGGGAGCAUGACCAAGGGCAUCAGCUGGGAAGCCGUAUGCCUGUGUUCCAGGUUUAAGGCAGCCUGGCUAUUAGUUAGUUGCUUGAGUGUGGACCUUUUGGCUCCAUCUCUUGGAAUAAGCUGGCUGAGUUGAGCCUUAAACCCGUUUUAGGUUCAGAAAUAGGCAAUCGGGUUCUUGCUCUGAAGACCUUUGACUCCCACUUGGGCCUCUGGAAAAUCCAAAUGUAGUGGGUCCAGAUGCUUUGAUGAGGCCAUGAAAGAUUUCAGGAAAGUAUUAGAGUUAAACCCCCAGUUUGAAGAUGCUGCACUGAGUCUAAAACAGGCUAUUCUUGAUAAAGAAGAAAAAGAAAAGCGGGGGUAUUGAACAUGCAGCUAGUGGUGUGAAAACGUUUUGCUAAACACUUACGUGAUUUUUGUCACUGAUGGAUGAAACACAAGAUCAUUUACAUCUGUUACGACCUACUGAAGAAACCUCAUUCUUGGGUAAAUAAGUUAAAAAUGGAUUAUGAUUGCAAAAUAAACUAUAUUUGGAUAUUGUUAGUGUUGAGGAAAAGCAUAAUGUUAGAUCUAUGUGAGAUACUUGUACAGGUUUUGUACAGAAGUACUUCAUAAAGAUGUUGGAAGCUCAGUAACAGCAAAUGAAGUCUGUGGUUCUCUUACUAAAACUGUUUCUGUACUCCACAGCUUGUUUUAAACAGUCUGUCAUGGGGAAGAAUAAUCAAACUUUAUAAAACAUUUAAAUACUUAAGAUUGGAGCUUGUGAGAAGUACAGUGGUUGAAUAAUGAUAGUGUUUGUCCAUAUUUAAAUGUAAACUUGAUUUAGGCUAAAAGUGCAAUUGUUAAUUAUAAGGUGGUAUCCUUGAGGUGCUGUGGUAACUGAUUUUCUUUUCAGAGUGUUUCUGUAUUAAGAAACACUUAACAAAAACAGUAAGACCUCUGUAGGUGACACCAUCUGUACUUUGCAGGAGGAAUGUGGUGUAAGCAUUUAGUCCAUCAUAAGUUCAUUCACUCCUAGAGGUAGCUUUACGUUAUGUGAGCAGGUAGGGACAGAGCAUACCUAUUUUUUGUAAUCCCAUUGUAAAAGUAUUGGACAGGUUAAUAACUGAAUGAAUAAAAAUGAGCAUGUACUUUUUAUCUCAUGAUUGUCUGUGAAGAGCUUAUGGUAGAGAAUGUAGUUGGGCUGUUCACAGUAGGAAUUGUGGCUUUCUCCUUUUUAUUGGAAAGGCCAAUUGCUUGAAAAACAUAAUGUGAAAUCGAUCUGAUUGAGCUGGCUGUGAAUACCCAGGCAGCUUCAUUUCUCACAUGAUGGGAGGACCAUUGCUGAAAUCUAUGAAUCGUCAAUAAGAAACACCCUUGCAUGUUCAUAGCAAUACAAGUUCUAAUAAAAGAAAUGCUCUUUGAUUGCCUGC